AAUUGUCAUGAUAUGGAAAAAAAUUCUCCUUCUAACGGUCUAGUGGCUAGCACCCACCGUGAAAUCUGGGUUCGAAUCUCAGUAAAAUCGAAGGUAAAUGCUCACUGUUCCAAAGGGCUUCUCCUGGGAAUCAUUCGCCAAAACCCUAGUCCAUCUGUCGAUCUGGUCGUCCCUUCCCCGAGAGCUUCUAAUUCGUCUCCGAAUACCCCGGUCAGCUACCUCCUCUGCCCUCCCUUCCGUUUCCCUAUUCCUUUCCCAGCUCCGACAACAGUAGUUCAUUCGGUUUCUAAUCCAGGUUUUCCUGUGUUGUUGAUUGCGCAAGUCCGGAAGUUUCUUGACAGAAAAAAUCUUCAUUCUAAAUUAGUUUCUGAACUAAAUAUGUGUUGACUUUGAAUGCAGUAGGAAUCUUAAUAUUUUAUUGUAAUCCUUCCUAUGUCAAAGUCCAGUCUUCGUACUCUUUGUUGGAAUUAAACAUCUGAACUCCAUUUCAUUUUUUUUUUCUUUUGGGAUCUGAUGCGGAAUUCAUGUCCAUCUUCUUGCAUGUUGAAAAGAACAACUUUUUACAAAUGAGGUGCAUGGACUUGGUUAUGCUAUUCGAUAUCUAAUGUUACUGAUGGCGUACAAGAUGUCUAGACCUGUGCUAAGAACCUCAACAAUGCAUUUUAAUCAAGUUUCUAUUCAUGGAAUUGCUGCCUUGACACCUGCAAAGGACAUAAAGCUGUUGGUAUCAUGAAAGCCGGGCAGACAUUUACAAUAUAACCAAUGAUCAAUGCAGAGCCCUCUCCCUUUUCCAGUUGACAUAGUAACGCAAGGCGAAAAAUUGCUAUACUACCGCAGUAUUCUCUCCUAUGCCAACUUGUGCCAGUCAGGUUGAUGAUAAACCGGAGGUUCAUAGGCACAUUCCUUCCUGAAAUGAUGAUUGCAUCUUGGCUAAUUUUUCUCCAUCCUGUCUUUGAAACAACACUCAUACAGGCACUAGCAUCCCCUGCAAUGACGUUGAGGUUCGAACUGCAAGGUCGUCAUCGUAGCCAGUGUCUUUACGUGGUUAAACUCCUAACCUUGUUUUUCAAUUUGCAACCAUCUUUUUGAGCAAGCUUUGUCAUUCAUUCAAUUUGGCGAUUCGUGCUCAGUUAUUGGAGUAAAAUGUGAUGUCCCUUACCUCAAACAAUUAAGUAUCAUUGGUUUCACGACUAAAUAUAAAUAGAUAAAU